rnacentral:rRNA from 1 species
AUGAACGCUGGCGGCGUGCCUAAUCCAUGCCAGUCGAGCGAACAGACGAGGAGCUUGCUCCUCUGACGUUAGCGGCGGACGGGUGAGUAACACGUGGAUAACCUACCUAUAAGACUGGGAUAACUUCGGGAAACCGGAGCUAAUACCGGAUAAUAUAUUGAACCGCAUGGUUCAAUAGUGAAAGACGGUUUUGCUGUCACUUAUAGAUGGAUCCGCGCCGCAUUAGCUAGUUGGUAAGGUAACGGCUUACCAAGGCAACGAUGCGUAGCCGACCUGAGAGGGUGAUCGGCCACACUGGAACUGAGACACGGUCCAGACUCCUACGGGAGGCAGCAGUAGGGAAUCUUCCGCAAUGGGCGAAAGCCUGACGGAGCAACGCCGCGUGAGUGAUGAAGGUCUUCGGAUCGUAAAACUCUGUUAUUAGGGAAGAACAAAUGUGUAAGUAACUAUGCACGUCUUGACGGUACCUAAUCAGAAAGCCACGGCUAACUACGUG